UCCUGAAUGCUUGUGAAUUUCCAAGGCGUGCCUAUCUGUGUUACCACCUGAGCACUGUUAAACAGAUGCUGUGUUCCAUCCCCAAUGAUUUGCUUAGCUCACACUCAUGAGCUGGAGAAUAGGAAGACAGGCAGGAAGAUGAUGCAUGGUCUGGACUCAACACUCUGUUUAUGGGACCUUCCUCCUUCCAGUAAACCAUGUGUGUCAGGUUUUGCAGAAGGAACCGAACUAACUUGAGACCAGAGCCUGCCAACCCUUACUUGUACAGCUCUUCAUGCAAAUUUCAGAUGUCUCCCUCUCAGUGGCAACUCAUUGUAUCUCUUUGUAUGAUGCCAGGGCCUUCACAUCAUAUACAGGAUAAGAAACACCGGACCUUAUUUUCCCUACUUCCAAUAUCAUUCAUUUUUGUAAAAUAUCUGUAAUUAUCAGCUAAAACUUUUUUUCAUAUGUGUAAAAUCAUAACCAUUACAAAACAGAGAACUUUUCUAUACCAUAGUAGUGGAACAGAUUAGAAUGGAGUUUGUGUUGUCAUAUAGAUAAGCUAGAUAAGUUUAUGGAGGGAAUGGUUUGAUGGGAUAACGUGAUUUUAGUCAAUUGGUCAACAACAUGCCCACGUUGGUAAAUAGUAUCAAUGGUCAAUGAGGG